rnacentral:rRNA from 2 species
CUCCGGGAAACCGGGGCUAAUACCGGAUAACAUUUUGAACCGCAUGGUUCGAAAUUGAAAGGCGGCUUCGGCUGUCACUUAUGGAUGGACCCGCGUCGCAUUAGCUAGUUGGUGAGGUAACGGCUCACCAAGGCAACGAUGCGUAGCCGACCUGAGAGGGUGAUCGGCCACACUGGGACUGAGACACGGCCCAGACUCCUACGGGAGGCAGCAGUAGGGAAUCUUCCGCAAUGGACGAAAGUCUGACGGAGCAACGCCGCGUGAGUGAUGAAGGCUUUCGGGUCGUAAACUCUGUUGUUAGGGAAGAACAAGUGCUAGUUGAAUAAGCUGGCACCUUGACGGUACCUAACCAGAAAGCCACGGCUAACUACGUGCCAGCAGCCGCGGUAAUACGUAGGUGGCAAGCGUUAUCCGGAAUUAUUGGGCGUAAAGCGCGCGCAGGUGGUUUCUUAAGUCUGAUGUGAAAGCCCACGGCUCAACCGUGGAGGGUCAUUGGAAAACUGGGAGACUUGAGUG